rnacentral:rRNA from 1 species
AGAGUUUGAUCCUGGCUCAGAGCGAACGCUGGCGGCAUGCUUAAUACAUGCAAGUCGCACGGCCGGGGCAACCCGGCAGUGGCGGACGGGUGAGUAACGCGUAGGAAUCUAUACAUGGGUGGGGGAUAACGCCGGGAAACUGGUGCUAAUACCGCAUGACACCUGAGGGUCAAAGGCGCAAGUCGCCUGUGGAGGAGCCU